CCACCCUUUAAUGUUUGAUGUUCUAACGUUGACCCGUGAUCCGGGUUGCGGACAGUGUCUGGUGGGUAGUUUGACUGGGGCGGUCUCCUCCUAAAGAGUAACGGAGGAGCACGAAGGUUGGCUAAUCCUGGUCGGACAUCAGGAGGUUAGUGCAAUGGCAUAAGCCAGCUUGACUGCGAGCGUGACGGCGCGAGCAGGUGCGAAAGCAGGUCAUAGUGAUCCGGUGGUUCUGAAUGGAAGGGCCAUCGCUCAACGGAUAAAAGGUACUCCGGGGAUAACAGGCUGAUACCGCCCAAGAGUUCAUAUCGACGGCGGUGUUUGGCACCUCGAUGUCGGCUCAUCACAUCCUGGGGCUGAAGUAGGUCCCAAGGGUAUGGCUGUUCGCCAUUUAAAGUGGUACGCGAGCUGGGUUUAGAACGUCGUGAGACAGUUCGGUCCCUAUCUGCCGUGGGCGCUGGAGAACUGAGGGGGGCUGCUCCUAGUACGAGAGGACCGGAGUGGACGCAUCACUGGUGUUCGGGUUGUCAUGCCAAUGGCACUGCCCGGUAGCUAAAUGCGGAAGAGAUAAGUGCUGAAAGCAUCUAAGCACGAAACUUGCCCCGAGAUGAGUUCUCCCUGACUCCUUGAGAGUCCUGAAGGAACGUUGAAGACGACGACGUUGAUAGGCCGGGUGUGUAAGCGCAGCGAUGCGUUGAGCUAACCGGUACUAAUGAACCGUGAGGCUUAACCUUACAACGCCGAAGCUGUU
rnacentral:rRNA from 1 species